GGUGUGUAAGAAUGCGUGGUGGUGUUAGGGGAAGACAUAAUAGAAGAAGAGGUAGAAGGCAAAGAAUAAGAGUCCCUGAUGAAAUCAGAGCCACAAUUGUGGACCAUGUCAUAAACCAUGGUCAUACAAUGGAAGAGGCUGGUAGGAGAGUACAGCCGAAUGUAAACAGGUCCACAGUGUCAUAAACCAUGGUCUUACAAUGGAAGAGGCUGGUCGGAGAGUACAGCCUAAUGUAAACAGGUCCACAGUGUCAUUGUGUAAACAUUACGUAGGGAAAACAGGUGAAUAUGUACUCCUUCUUUACUUUUGUUACAGCAUUUCAUUCACAACAAUACAGCAACUAUUGUAAAUGCAAGUCUGAAAAUCACAAUGUACCAUAAGAUAUGUAUGUGGAAUAUACAGAAACAUUUGAAUAGAAUAUACUAUCUGUAACAUGAUCUCUUUGUGAAUUCUACAUGUCAUAUAUAAGACUGCACAACAACCUCAUGCUGGUGGCAGAGCAGCAGUAUUCAGCCAUCAGCAAGAACAAGAAAUUUGGAAAAUGGUCACAGCCAACAAUACCAUCAGGCUAAGAGCGAUCCAAAGUGCAAUCAUAAAUGACAACAAUAUCUUCACAAAUAUCAAUUCUGUCAGCAUUUCCACUAUAGACAGAGUUUAGAAAAAAUAAUCAAAUGACUAUGAAACAACUGUACAAGGUGCCAUUUGAGAGGAAUAGUGACAGAGUGGAGGAGCUGUGGUACCAGUAUGUCCAGGUAGGAGCUGUGGUACCUGUAUGUCCAGGUAGGAGCUGCGGUACCAGUAUGUCCAGGUAGGAGCUGCGGUACCAGUAUGUCCAGGUAGG
rnacentral:lncRNA from 1 species